GCUUUCCGGCGUUGGAGUUGCAGCUUCACCCUCGCAGAUUCGGCUUAGCGAGCGAGUCGGUGCUUCCGCGGAUCAAAAUUAUUAGCCGUUUUAUUAGAGCCCAUUAAACGUUGCAUAAACAUGGUUCAGAGCUGCCUGGGAGAAGAAAAGCCAAAGGAUGCCACCCUCUCGAUUUAUCCCACCCUCGGGAGUCUGAAAGCCGACGCCAGGAGAAAUCCCGCGAAGGCCGCCCGGGAUCCUGGUAGAGGCGACGCUGUGUGCGUUUAUGGAGCGCUUGCGAUGGACAGAAGUGAGGACAUUCAUCGGCCGCAUUUUACUAAUGGCAAGGAGAUAGCGACUGAAGGGCAAGAACCUAGGGUUUCCUGUCUUUGAUAUUUCUCAUCUUUGAGCAAAAGGAGAGAGGCCAUUAUGGGGAAAAAGAUCCAAAAGGACUCAUCUAAAACACAAGUUGGGUAGAGGAGAUAGGUGAGUACUAUUAUAUUAUGUUCAUGGAAAAUGAGUUCAUGGGCUUUCCUCUAAUUUUUAUUUUAAAAAUAAAUGUAAAUAUUAAAUAAAAUUUUUUAAAUGAA
ensembl:lncRNA RNF139-DT RNF139 divergent transcript